GGCAUUUUAACUGCUUGAUUCCUCCCCCAAAUGGGUACAAGGUCCUGAUCAAGUGGCCAAAAAGCAGAGAUGAAGUAUGGAAAGCAAGCACACGAGAAAUCAGAUCAAAACUGGAUGGUUGUAAAAGGCGAAAAGUUCGUAUUCGCAGAUGCUCAACUUCUCAAAAGACAACAUGAACAACCAUGGAAACUUUUACGGACCCUUCUCGAUGUCGGCUGCGGUGUUGCAAGUUUCAGUGGUUAUCUUCUAUCAUCUGACAUGAUCGCAACGUGGUUAUCUUCUAUCAUCUAACGAUGUGCAUCAAAAUCAAAUCCAGUUCGCGUUAGAACGAGGCAUUCCUGCAUAUCUCGGUGUUCUCGGAACGAAACGACUUCCGUACCCGAGCAGAUCUUUCGAACUUGCGCAUUGUUCGCGUUGUAGAAUCGAUUGGCUACAGCGGGAUGGUAUUCUUUUACUUGAAUUAGAUCGGUUGCUAAGACCGGUGGCUACUUCGCUUACACAUCUCCUGAAGCGUACGCGCAAGAU
rnacentral:lncRNA from 1 species